CUCAGUGAGAAGUGUUGUUGAUUUAGUGCUCGAAGAACACGGAAAAGCCUCGGCCCACCUGCUGGUUACCUUCCCCUUCACGCAGCCUGCAGAGAGCAACCAGGCAGAAAUCUCCCUGAGUCACAUCAUCUCCUCCUCAGCCCUCCGGCUCAGUCGCUGUCCAAAACAAGCAGAAAAAAAGAGCUCAAGCAAAACGAAUGAUCCAACCGUAGCUGCACAGAUCUCAGUUUGCCUGGCGGACAUCUCAGCAUGGAUGAACAAACAUCACCUACAACUCAACCUGGCAAAGACUGACCUUCUCAUCUUCCCUGCCGCUCCAACUCUACAGCAUGAUUUCACCAUCCAAUUUGGUCAGAAAUCUUGGUGCAAUCUUUAAUGACCAGCUUACUUUCA
ensembl:lncRNA